AACGAACGCUGGCGGCAGGCUUAACACAUGCAAGUCGAACGGACGUAGCAAUACGUUAGUGGCAGACGGGUGAGUAACGCGUGGGAAUAUGCCCUUUAGUUCGGAAUAACCAAGGGAAACUUUGGCUAAUACCGGAUAAUCCCGAGAGGGGAAAGAUUUAUCGCUGAAGGAGUAGCCCGCGUCUGAUUAGCUAGUUGGUGAGGUAAUGGCUCACCAAAGCGACGAUCAGUAGCUGGUCUGAGAGGAUGAUCAGCCACACUGGGACUGAGACACGGCCCAGACUCCUACGGGAGGCAGCAGUGGGGAAUAUUGGACAAUGGGGGCAACCCUGAUCCAGCCAUGCCGCGUGAGUGAUGAAGGCCUUAGGGUUGUAAAACUCUUUUAUCCGGGAAGAUAAUGACUGUACCGGAAGAAUAAGCCCCGGCUAACUUCGUGCCAGCAGCCGCGGUAA
rnacentral:rRNA from 1 species